AACGAACGCUGGCGGCAUGCCUAACACAUGCAAGUCGAACGAGACCUUCGGGUUUAGUGGCGCACGGGUGCGUAACGCGUGGGAACCUGCCCUUAGGCUCGGAAUAACUCCCCGAAAGGGGUGCUAAUACCGGAUAAAGUCCUCGUACCAAAGAUUUAUCGCCUUUGGAUGGGCCCGCGUUGGAUUAGCUAGUUGGUAGGGUAAAAGCCUACCAAGGCGACGAUCCAUAGCUGGUCUGAGAGGAUGAUCAGCCACACUGGGACUGAGACACGGCCCAGACUCCUACGAGAAGCAGCAGUGGGGGAUAUUGGACAAUGGGCGAGAGCCUGAUCCAGCAAUGCCGGGUGAAUGAUGAAGGCGUUAGGGUUGUAAAGCUCUUUUACCCGGGAUGAUAAUGACAGUACCGGGAGAAUAAGCUCCGGCUAACUCCGUG
rnacentral:rRNA from 1 species